rnacentral:lncRNA from 1 species
AUUUUGUGAGGCUGUCUUGUAGUUGGAACCAUGGCGGUUGAGGUUGUGGGAUUUGAGAUGGUUCAAGGCCCAGUGGAGAAUGGUGCUGAAGGAGGAAAACCUGUUUUACAUGAGAAGGAGAAUGGAAAGCUGGAAAAAGAUGUAGGAGCUGUGGAGGCCAUCAAAUUUGGGUCACAUGGAGAUGAAUCGGCAAAAGGGAAUGAUGUUUCUGAGGCGAAUGUGCCGAGAGAUGCUGCCGAAGAGUGGCCUGCACCUAAGCAGAUUCAUUCUUAUUAUUUUGUCAGGUGGAGGCCUUAUGAGGAUCCAACCAUAAAGUCUAAAAUUGAUUUGCUUGACAAAGAGAUUAGCAAGAAAAAUCAAGGCCGGUUUCAGAUCACUGAAGCACUGAAGGCAAAGCGGGUAAGUUGAGAAGAAUUCAUCUGGGUUGCUUGAUGAAAAGUAUCAUUAUGUAAUUGUGGUGUAAAAGAACUAAUUGUCAUUCUUUGCGACUCAAGCAGCAAACAACACAACCAGUAGCAAACAAUUGUUUUCAAAAUUAUAUUGAAAAUUUAUGCAGAAAAUGUAACUGUAAUUUAAACAUUUAUUUUGCCCAUUGAUGGUAGUCCAUUUGGUGCCAGCAAGCAUAGGAAAUAGUUGUGGAACAAAGUUCACUGGAAAAAUUACGAGAAAAAAAUUAAUGGGGCUUGCAUUCUUUCCAUGAGGUUAUUUUUGCAGAAUGAAAUGAAAAGAUGUGAUGAUUCUUUCUCAAUGAAGAUCUGACAUAAUUAUAUAUUCAUUGCAGUCAGAACGAGCUGAGUUGAUUUCUCAAAUCAAGUCUCUAAGAGGUGAUAGUAGGCAAUUUCAGAGUAUUGUGGAUGAGAAAAUAAAAGAGAUCGAACCUUUGCAGCAAGCACUGGGCAAGCUGCGCAAUACAAAUAAUGCGGGUCGGGGUGGUUUGUGUUCAUCUGAGGAAGAACUUAAUACUGUUGUAUGUUAUGAGUCUGAGUUCUUUUCAGUCCAUAGUUCAUCAAUUUGUCUAGUUAUCCCCACAUCUAUUCUCCAUUACUCAGUACUCCUUUGUGGUUGACGGAUGCAGAUAUAUAGUUUGCAGUACCGCAUACAGCAUGAGAGCAUUCCGUUGACUGAGGAAAAACAACUCCUCCGAGAAAUCAAACAGCUUGAGGGGACAAGGGAGAAAGUUAUUGCCAAUGCUGCAAUGAGAACCAAGUUACAGGAGUCUAUGGGGCAGAAAGAAGCCAUUCAAGAUCAGGUCAAGGUAAGGUGGUUUUAUUUGUUUAUGCUAAUGAAUUCCCCCCUGUUAAAACUAUUUUUAGUAAAUGUGUAUUAUUAUUAUUCAAAAGGUUCUUGAGAAAUUAACUUCCAUUGCAGCUUAUAGGUGGGGAUUUGGAUGGAGUGAAGAAAGAGAGAGAAGCGAUUCGGUCCAAAAUCAAGCAAAUCGACGAUGCCCUGAAAGCCAUUGACAAGGAUAUUCAGUCUCUACAGGAGGAACUGACAGCUGUAUCUCAGAAAAGGGACAAAUCUUUUGAGAGCAUGCAGCAGCUGAAAAGACAGCGUGAGGAGGGGGUAUGUUUCACUUUAAAAUAAGCAAUCCAGUGUGAUUUCUUUAGGAAAAGCUUGGUAAACUGGGUGGAAAAUCAAAAAGAAGAAUAUAUGGAAAAUGAAAAAGAAGAAUAUAUGGAAUGCGAAAGAGGAUGAAAUGUUAUUUUAAUUUCAUCUGGUGUUUAGGUAGAGAAGGUGGAGAAUGGGAUGUUGGAAAUAAUUUUGUUGAACCUUGUUUUUCCGUUCCCAUCUCAUUUGUAUGGAUAAAUGUUUGAAGAUUGAAUGAAACCUGUGCUAAACUAAUUUGUUUAUUUCAAUGCUAUGUAGCUUUGUGGAAUAAUAUCUGAAUUUGCAUUAAUAUUUACUUGUUCAGAAUUCCUAUUUCUAUCGAAGUCGUACAGUUCUGAACAAAGCACGGGAUCUGGCUGCCAAGAAAGAUAUUAAUGCUCUUGAUGAAGUUUCGCAGACAGAGGUCUGUCCUCAUAAUAUUGGUUCUUAUUAACUAUCCAAUUUUGGGUGAUCCAUUGCACUUUAACAACCUUCUGAUAACUUUUUCCUGCUUUUUUGACUGACGGUUGUGAUUGAAUCUUAUAUUUCCCCCUUGAUUCCAGGUUGAGACAUUUAUGGCACUGUGGAACAGUGACAAAGCAUUUAGGAAUGAUUAUGAAAAAAGAAUUUUGGCCUCAUUGGAUAUGCGUCAGUUAAGCCGGGAUGGACGGAUGAGGAACCCAGAUGAAAAGCCAAUACUGGAGGAACCAAAGCCUGCUGAAGCUGAAGCAAUACCAAAAACUGUUCCAAAACAGCCAAAGGAGGAGCCUAAGCCUUCUCCACAAGAAACUUUGCCUGCUCAGAAAGAAUCCAAAAACAAAGGGAGAGAUUUGAAAUCCAAACCAGACAUUAAGGAUUCAGCAGUAACUGAUGAAUAUGAAUUUGAAAAUCCCAAAAAGGCAACCCCUACCAACGAGCCUGAAAUUGAUCCUGCAAAGCUGAAAGAGAUGAAGCGUGAUGAGGAAAUUUUGAAAGCAAAGCAGGCUCUGGAAAGAAAGAAGAAGUUAGCUGACAAAGCUGCAGCCAAAGCAGCAAUCAGAGCACAAAAGGAAGCUGAGAAGAAGCUUAAGGUGAUUUGAUUGUUCAUUUCUUUUUGUCAUUCUGUAGUUAUACAUUUUCCAAAACCUGAAACCCGUUUUUAUAGGACCGUGAGAAGAAAGCAAAGAAGAAAGCUUCGGGUGCUGGAGUUGUUGCCAACCCUGAAGAUGAACCAAAAGAUGAUGUUGUUGAGGCUACUGAACCAGAAAAGGUUAACGAUGACAUUCAAGCCACUGCUCCUGUGAAGGAAAAGGUCCAAAGGGAGAGUGGUAUCAGGUCCAGGAACCGAGCAAGAGGCCCAGAUUCUGUUCCAAAAGUUAUUCUUAAGCGGAAGAAGUCUAACAAUUACUGGGUGUGGGUUGCAGUUGCUGCUUUGUUAGUUCUCCUUUUGGCGGUGCUUGGAUACAUCUAUCUUUUCUGAGAUGUUUAGAUGUAGAAGCUGUGAAAAAACAAUUUUCUAAGCUGGGUGGCUAGGUUUGUGAGGUAGCAUAAGUUAUAUUCAUGUUCUAUACACCCUCU